UGGUCCAGCCUUCUUUUCUUUCUUGG
rnacentral:piRNA from 1 species